UUCCGGUUGAUCCUGCCGGACCCGACUGCUAUUUGGGUGAGGAUAAGCCAUGCGAGUCGAAUGGGAUACCUAAAUUUCCCAUGGCAAACUGCUCAGCAACACAUGAUCAACUUACCCUAUAGAGAAACAUAACCUCGGGAAACUGAGGAUAAUAAUUCAUAAUUGAAAAGGCUUGGAAAAGUUUUUCAAUUAAAGGUUAAGAAAAAUGGUUCUUAGCCGCUAUAGGAUAGGAUCGUGCUCGAUUAUGGUUGCUGGUGAGGUAACGGCUCACCAAGCCGAUAAUCGAUAGGGGCCGUGAGAGCGGGAGCCCCGAGAUGGGUACUGAGACAACGACCCAGGCCUUACGAGGCGCAGCAGGUACGAAACCUCCGCAAUACACGAAAGUGUGACGGGGUUACCCAAAGUGUUCAAUUUUGAACUGUGGUAGGUGAGUAAUGUUCCCUACUAGAAAGGAGAGGGCAAGGCUGGUGCCAGCCGCCGCGGUAAAACCAGCUCUUCAAGUGGUCGGGAUAAUUAUUGGGCUUAAAGUGUCCGUAGCCGGUUUAGUAAGUUCCUGGUAAAAUCGGGUAGCUUAACUAUCUAUAUGCUAGGAAUACUGCUAUACUAGAGGGCGGGAGAGGUCUGAGGUACUACAGGGGUAGGGGUGAAAUCUUAUAAUCCUUGUAGGACCACCAGUGGCGAAGCGUCAGACUGGAACGCGCCUGACGGUGAAGGACGAAAGCCAGGGGAGCGAACCGGAUUAGAUACCCGGGUAGUCCUGGCCGUAAACGAUGCAUACUAGGUGAUGGCACGGCCGUGAGCCGUGUCAGUGCCGUAGGGAAACCGCUAAGUGUGCCGCCUGGAAGUACCGUCGCAAGCUAAAACUUAAGAAUUGGCCGGGGAGCACCACAAGGGUGAAUCUGCGGUUCAAUUGAAUUCAACGCGGGAUCGUCG
rnacentral:rRNA from 1 species